GCUUGAGACAUACAUAUCAGUGUUUUAGGAGCCCGAUCCCAUCUGAUUUCAGAAGCUAAGCAGGGUCGGGGCUGGUUAGUACUUGGAUGGGAGACCACCUAGGAAGACCAGAUGCUAUAGGCG
rfam:Pteropus alecto contig109043, whole genome shotgun sequence.